rnacentral:rRNA from 1 species
UAACACGUAGGAGGCAAGCGUUAUUCGGAUUUACUGGGCGUAAAGCGCGUGCAGGCGGUUUGGUAAGUUGGAUGUGAAAGCUCCCGGCCUAACUGGGAGAGGUCGUUCAAUACUACCAGACUAGAGGAUGGGAGAGGGAGGUGGAAUUCCGGGUGUAGUGGUGAAAUGCGUAGAUAUCCGGAGGAACACCAGUGGCGAAAGCGGCCUCCUGGCCCAUUUCUGACGCUCAGACGCGAAAGCUAGGGUAGCAAACGGG